AGAGUUUGAUCAUGGCUCAGAUUGAACGCUGGCGGCAUGCUUUACACAUGCAAGUCGAGCGGCAGCGCGGGGGCAACCCUGGCGGCGAGCGGCGAACGGGUGAGUAAUAGAUAGGAACGUGUCCGGGAGUGGGGGAUAACUAGCCGAAAGGUUAGCUAAUACCGCAUAUUCUCUUAGGAGGAAAGCAGGGGACCAGUAAUGGCCUUGCGCUCGCGGAGUGGCCUAUCUCCGAUUAGCUAGUUGGUGAGGUAAAGGCUUACCAAGGCGACGAUCGGUAGCUGGUCUGAGAGGAUGAUCAGCCACACUGGGACUGAGACACGGCCCAGACUCCUACGGGAGGCAGCAGUGGGGAAUUUUGGACAAUGGGGGCAACCCUGAUCCAGCCAUGCCGCGUGCGGGAAGAAGGCCUUCGAGUUGUAAACCGCUUUUAUUUGGGAAGAAGGAGUAGGGGUUAAUACCCUCUAUGACGGACGGUACCGGAUGAAUAAGCACCGGCUAACUACGUGCCAGCAGCCGCGGUAAUACGUAGGGUGCGAGCGUUAAUCGGAAUUACUGGGCGUAAAGCGUGCGUAGGCGGUUGGCAAAGUCAGCUGUGAAAGCCCCGGGCUUAACCUGGGAAUGGCGGUUGAAACUGGUCGACUAGAAUCUGGCAGAGGGGGUGGAAUUCCACGUGUAGCAGUGAAAUGCGUAGAGAUGUGGAGGAACACCGAUGGCGAAGGCAGCCCCCUGGGCUGAGAUUGACGCUCAGGCACGAAAGCGUGGGGAGCAAACAGGAUUAGAUACCCUAGUAGUCC
rnacentral:rRNA from 1 species